rnacentral:rRNA from 1 species
UAGGGAAUCUUCCGCAAUGGGCGAAAGCUUGACGGAGCAACGCCGCGUGAGUGAUGAAGGUCUUCGGAUCGUAAAACUCUGUUAUUAGGGAAGAACAAAUGUGUAAGUAACUAUGCACGUCUUGACGGUACCUAAUCAGAAAGCCACGGCUAACUACGUGCCAGCAGCCGCGGUAAUACGUAGGUGGCAAGCGUUAUCCGGAAUUAUUGGGCGUAAAGCGCGCGUAGGCGGUUUUUUAAGUCUGAUGUGAAAGCCCACGGCUCAACCGUGGAGGGUCAUUGGAAACUGGAAAACUUGAGUGCAGAAGAGGAAAGUGGAAUUCCAUGUGUAGCGGUGAAAUGCGCAGAGAUAUGGAGGAACACCAGUGGCGAAGGCGACUUUCUGGUCUGUAACUGAUGCUGAUGUGCGAAAGCGUGGGGAUCAAACAGG